UCGAACGAGGGAGGGAAAACGGAUGAAGGAGUCCAGGCUGUCGCCGUCACCUGGAAGGGCCGAUGUGCACGCCUUCCUGUUUCGUGGACCCCCCCAAAUUUCCUUAUCCACCUGUGCACCCUUUGUAGGCCCUCGAAAGAGGAUCUACGUCUCUCUAUCUACGCUUUUUUGCUACGCAUGUCCAGAAUGUAUACAAUCUUUACAACUUUCAGCAAUGGAUCUCUUGGCUCUCGCAUCGAUGAAGAACGCAGCGAAUUGCGAUAAGUAAUGUGAAUUGCAGAUUUUCAGUGAAUCAUCGAAUCUUUGAACGCACCUUGCGCUCCUUGGUAUUCCGAGGAGCAUGCCUGUUUGAGUGUCAUCGAAUUCUCAACCGUGUCUUGAAUUAGGCAUGGCUUGGACUUGGGGGUUGCUGGCACGCUGUGUCGGCUCUCCUGAAAUGCAUUAGCGAUGGUCAGCAAGCCUGACGUGCACGGCCUUUUCGACGUGAUAACGAUCGUCGUGGGCUGGAGCGUAGGGCGAGCGGUGAAUCGCUUCCAAUCCAAGCCUCAGUUACUAGUCAGCCGACGAACGCGAGGCUGAUCUU
rnacentral:rRNA from 1 species